rnacentral:rRNA from 1 species
GACGUAGGGCGCGAGCGUUGUCCGGAUUUAUUGGGCGUAAAGAGCUCGUAGGCGGCUUGUUGCGUCAGCUGUGAAAACCCGCAGCUCAACUGUGGGCUUGCAGCUGAUACGGGCAGGCUUGAGUUCGGUAGGGGAGACUGGAAUUCCUGGUGUAGCGGUGAAAUGCGCAGAUAUCAGGAGGAACCACCGGUGGCGGAAGGCGGGCCUCUGGGGCCGGAUACUGAC